rnacentral:rRNA from 1 species
CCUACGGGAGGCAGCAGUGAGGAAUAUUGGUCAAUGGAGGCAACUCUGAACCAGCCAAGUAGCGUGCAGGAUGACGGCCCUAUGGGUUGUAAACUGCUUUUAUGCGGGGAUAAACUGAGUCACGUGUGGCUUAUUGCAGGUACCGCAUGAAUAAGGACCGGCUAAUUCCGUGCCAGCAGCCGCGGUAAUACGGAAGGUCCGGGCGUUAUCCGGAUUUAUUGGGUUUAAAGGGUGCGCAGGCGGAAGCGCAAGUCAGCGGUAAAAUUGAGAGGCUCAACCUCUUCCCGCCGUUGAAACUGCGUUUCUUGAGUGGGCGAGAAGUACGCGGAAUGCGUGGUGUAGCGGUGAAAUGCAUAGAUAUCACGCAGAACUCCGAUUGCGAAGGCAGCGUACCGGCGCCCAACUGACGCUCAUGCACGAAAGCGUGGGUAUCGAACAGGAUUAGAUACCCCAGUAGUC